GGGAGUGUGGCUCAGUGGUAGAGUGCUUGCCUAGCAUGCAUGAAGCCCUGGGUUCAAUUCCUCAGUACCACUU
rnacentral:tRNA from 1 species